rnacentral:tRNA from 1 species
GGGCGGAUAGCUCAGUUGGGAGAGCACCGCGUUCGCAUCGCGGGGGUCGAGGGUUCGAAUCCCUUUCCGUCCACCA